rnacentral:piRNA from 1 species
CCACCUACGAAUAGGUCAAGAAUGUGCUU